GAUCCUGGCUUAGGAUGAACGCUGGCGGCGCGCUUAACACAUGCAAGUCGAACGGUUAAAGCACCUCCGGGUGUGCAUAAAGUGGCGAACGGCUGAGUAACACGUGGGCAACCUGCCCCCCGCACCGGGAUAGCCUCGGGAAACCGUGGGUAAUACCGGAUACUCCGCCACCCCCGCAUGGGGGAGGCGGGAAAGCGUACACGGCGGGGGAUGGGCCCGCGGCCUGUUAGCUCGUUGGCGGGGUAACGGCCCACCAAGGCGAUUAUGGGUAGCCGGGUUGAGAGACCGACCGGCCAGAUUGGGACUGAGACACGGCCCAGACUCCUACGGGAGGCAGCAGUGGGGAAUCUUGCACAAUGGGCGAAAGCCUGAUGCAAGCGACGCCGCGUGCGGGAUGAAGGCCCUCGGGUUGUAAACCGCUUUCAGCAGGGACGAGGCGCAAGUGACGGUACCUGCAGAAGAAGCCCCGGCUAACUACGUGCCAGCAGCCGC
rnacentral:rRNA from 1 species